rnacentral:rRNA from 1 species
CACAUGCAAGUCGAGGGGAAACGACAUCGAAAGCUUGCUUUUGAUGGGCGUCGACCGGCGCACAGGUGAGUAACGCGUAUCCAACCUGCCCACCACUUGGGGAUAACCUUGCGAAAGUAAGACUAAUACCCAAUGACGUCUCUAGAAGACAUCUGAAAGGGAUUAAAGAUUUAUCGGUGAUGGAUGGGGAUGCGUCUGAUUAGCUUGUUGGCGGGGUAACGGCCCACCAAGGCUACGAUCAGUAGGGGUUCUGAGAGGAAGGUCCCCCACAUUGGAACUGAGACACGGUCCAAACUCCUACGGGAGGCAGCAGUGAGGAAUAUUGGUCAAUGGACGAGAGUCUGAACCAGCCAAGUAGCGUGCAGGAUGACGGCCCUAUGGGUUGUAAACUGCUUUUAUAAGGGAAUAAAGUGAGCCUCGUGAGGCUUUUUGCAUGUACCUUAUGAAUAAGGACCGGCUAAUUCCGUGCCAGCAGCCGCGGUAAUACGGAAGGUCCGGGCGUUAUCCGGAUUUAUUGGGUUUAAAGGGAGCGUAGGCCGGAGAUUAAGCGUGUUGUGAAAUGUAGAUGCUCAACAUCUGCACUGCAGCGCGAACUGGUUUCCUUGAGUACGCACAAAGUGGGCGGAAUUCGUGGUGUAGCGGUGAAAUGCUUAGAUAUCACGAAGAACUCCGAUUGCGAAGGCAGCUCACUGGAGCGCAACUGACGCUGAAGCUCGAAAGUGCGGGUAUCGAACAGGAUUAGAUACCCUGGUAGUCCGCACGGUAAACGAUGGAUGCCCGCUGUUGGUCUGAAUA